AAGGUGGAGUUAUGUGGAAGACUAGUGAUUUUGUUGUUCUAUAUUUGGUAACAAAAAAUCACUAAUCAUCCCAUAAAAUCGCCGA
rfam:Oryctes borbonicus contig6865, whole genome shotgun sequence.